GCCGAAGUGGCGGAAUUGGUAGACGCGCACGUUUGAGGGGCGUGUGAGGCAACUCGUGUGGGUUCGAGUCCCACCUUCGGCA
rnacentral:tRNA from 1 species